UCCGAGUUGACCCCGGCAGUCUCCUACGAGUCCCCGGCAUGAUCCGCUGGCAACAUAGGACAAGGGUUGCGCUCGUUGCGGGACUUAACCCGACAUCUCACGACACGAGCUGACGACAACCAUGCACCACCUGUAUCCCGUGUCCCGAAGGAACUUCCUAUCUCUAGGAAUAGCACGAGUAUGUCAAGACCUGGUAAGGUUCUUCGCGUUGCUUCGAAUUAAACCACAUGCUCCGCUGCUUGUGCGGGUCCCCGUCAAUUCCUUUGAGUUUAGCCUUGCGGCCGUACUCCCCAGGCGGGGUGCUUAAUGCGUUAGCUUCGGCACGGAGGGAGUCGACACCCCCCACACCUAGCACCCAUCGUUUACGGCGUGGACUAC
rnacentral:misc_RNA from 1 species